rnacentral:rRNA from 1 species
AUUGAACGCUGGCGGCAGGCCUAACACAUGCAAGUCGAACGAGUGGCGGACGGGUGAGUAAUAUCUGGGAAACUGCCCGAUGGAGGGGGAUAACUCCUGGAAACGGUAGCUAAUACCCCAUACCAUCAGAUGUGCCCCCAUGGGAUUAGCUAGUAGGUGGGGUAUCGGCUCACCUAGGCGACGAUCCCUAGCUGGUCUGAGAGGAUGACCAGACACACUGGAACUGAGACACGGUCCAGACUCCUACGGGAGGCAGCAGUGGGGAAUAUUGCACAAUGGGCGCAAGCCUGAUGCAGCCAUGCCGCGUGUAUGAAGAAGGCCUUCGGGUUGUAAAGUACUUUCAGCGGGGAGGCGUUACCCGCAGAAGAAGCACCGGCUAACUCCGUGCCAGCAGCCGCGGUAAUAC